UCAGUGAAAACUGGGUCAGGUCCUUAAUUGAUAGUGUUUUGAUUCUACACAUGCACCACAUUUUAGGACUUUGCAUGUUCCUCUAUUGUGCGCUCUCAUGAAUUUAACACAGAUGUACCUGACAAAGAGCAGGGAUGUUUCAAGACAUAACCGGUUCUGUGCUUAAGCCAGAAUAUAAGUCCAAAAUUGAACAAGGAAGAGAAGGAAGCUAUGCAGAGAAACUUGAUCAGCACUUUUGGCUGCCCAUUUGGAGACAGAGUCAUUCCCUUCAACCUUAUUCUCUCCAGCGUCAUUUGCUAAGAGGCAACAAAUUAUCUACUGCCACAGCUCAUGCCUGUUCCUACAAUGAUUUCAACCCAGGAGAAAGAAACUCAUGACCAGAUUCUGGCCCAAUGAUGGAACAAAAGGGAUGACUGGCUUCUCUAAUGGGCCAGUUAGAGAUUCUCUUCAUGAAGGAAUAAAGUCUGUAUCGCUGACUCUCACUGACUUUUGGCUCCUUUGCCAUAGAGCUGUGUUGGGGGUGGGCUGGAGAACAGUGGGGAUAUAGCACGGAGUGCUUUGUGUGCCAAGAACUCCUGGCUGGCAGCUUGUCCCUAGAGAACUGAUCCUGCAGGAAUAACUGAGAGCAGCCUAAAAUAUAACCUGUGGGGGCUGACCUACAUAUUUCUCACACCGGUCUGAUCCCAAAAAAUCUGCCUGCACAUGUUUUGAAGGUCUUUUGAAGUAAGUUGUGUAGUAAGAGACAAACUUUCAAAAAACAGCCUUUAAAACUGCCCCUUUAGUUGUUCAUGAGAAAAAUCUCCCCAUAAGCCCACUGGCACAUGAGAGUAGGAUAGCCAAAAACUUCCUAAUAUUUGCAAAUGUAGGUCUGCCAUGCAAAUAACUAUGUGCAAAAUUGGGGGUUUCAAUGUCAGAGGAGGUUUUGACCUGCAAGCAGAUAGAAUCAUAAAAUGUCAGGGUUGGAAGGGACCUCAGGAGGGCAUCUAGUUCAACCCCCUGCUCAAAGGAAGACCAAUCCCCAACUAAAUCAUCCCAGCCAGGGCUUUGUCAAGCCUGACCUUAAAAACUUCUAAGGAAGGAGAUUCCACCACCUCCCUAGGUAACGCAUUCCAGUGUUUCACCACCCUCCUAGUGAAAAAGUUUUUCCUAAUAUGCAACCUAAACCUCCCCCUCUGCAACUUGAGACCAUUACUCCUCAUUCUGUCAUCUGCUCCCACUGAGAACAGUCUAGAUCCAUCUUCUUUGGAACCCCCUUUCAGGUAGUUGAAAGCAGCUAUCAAAUCCCCCCUCAUUCUUCUCUUCCGCAGACUUAGUCUUCCCUGAUCAGAUGGCAUGCUGAAUGCAAAAUGUAAAAAUAAAUAUAGUGAGGAACGGAAGUUAAAAGCUCUACAUUCCUCCUGCUUCCAGGCCCUGUGUGUAGUUUUCAUCCACAAUCAUACUGCUGUUCCUCAGGUAAGGGUCACAAUCUAGGCAUUAACAUUUCAUAAGACAAACAUGCUUCUCAUAUAGCACACUCAGCUCUGAUAUAAGCCAUGACAAGCAAUCAGUCACUUUCAUUUUCCUUCUGUCUGUUAUUACUUUUCUCUUAACGCUUUUCCUCUCAUGCCUGUUUUCUGUUUGUGUUUGUCCAUUCAUCAACUCUUCUUAAUUCCUUUCUGCCAAAUAUUUGCCAUGCAUCUCUUUCUGCCUCGUGCUAUCCCAUCAUCUUUUCUCUCCUGUUUCCGUCUCUCUCUCAUGCCUUCCUUCUUGAGUACUAGCCUAGCGCUUUUGCUAUCUCCAGUACCAUUACUCUACCUGCAACCUUACAUAUGUCUUUUGCUACAUAUCAAAAUUAAUGUCCCAUGUCUCUGUGUUUGCAUCCUGCAUUUCUCGUCUCUUCAUAUGGCAUUGAUCUAUUUGACUGUUUGCCCCAUUUUCAUUGACUUUUGAGUUUGUGUCUGCCAGUUAAUGUUUAUUGAUCUUCUUUGACUCAGUCAUCUUUAAUCAACUGCACUUUUUCCUCUUCAUGGCUCGCCAUUGGUGGAGGCCCUUGCUAUUGAGGCUCUGAGUGCAAAAUAUGUGUCACACCCACCAUCUUGUCUCCUUCUGUUACAGUGAGUUGGCUGGGGUUGCACAGAGCAUCUUAUAUAGUCCAAAUAGUGGGCUUGGAGCUUGACAAACAAAGUAGGAACACAAGGUCUCUCCUAAAAGAACCUACAGUCUGUAGAAAGAGGCUGCUGGCUGGACUGUAACAAGAAGUAGUGACUUCUUGAGUUGAGGAAUCACAGCUAGUUCCACAAUUUCUGUUUAGACGGGUUUUUUAAAAAUAUUUCAUUUUACUUAUUUACUUUUGUGUAAGUACUUUGGCUCUUUUCACUACUAACAUUCAUCUGCUACGUCAAGUGUUCCGUGAUGGAGGUUCAGUCUCUGCUCCAAGACAGAGCAGCUUGACAGGACUGCUACCAUGAUGAGAAGGUACUAAAGAAAACUGCACAGUUAAGAAUAUGAUCUAGGAAGAUGGGCUGCUUCUCCAUCCCAAAGGCUUCACUGAAGUCAAGCGAUGCUAGUGUCAGCAGAAAAGAGACUGGUUUACAGAAGACUGAAAAAUCCAGACUGAAAUUUGGUUUUUUUCCCCUUAGGAGACCAAGUUAUACCAGAAAAGAUCAGGGGACUAGAGAAGUGAAAAGAAAAGGAAAGAGAAAUAAUUAGUGAACAUUUGUAGGGGUGAUGCGUGCAAAUUAGAGCAAUCUUAAAGUGAAAGAAGUGAAUUCCUUACACCUGACUGUACAAACAAUGGAUGGGGAGGGUGAGCUGGCAGCUCCUGCAGCUUCUAUGCUGCUGACAAAUGCAGUGGCAUCCCUUGAACUCUUAACUUUCCACUGAAAUACUGGCACUUCAAAGGUAACUUACUUUGUGCAGCAGUAGUGCUGUGAUUUGUCCAGUCUACCAGAUACAUUUGGAGCAGUGAAUAGUAACACUUAAGGUUUGUAACAGAAUGUACUCCUGUGUCCACACCCUACACACUAUUGUAAUAAUCUUCUCUCUCUUUGUAGUUGAUAAACUCGUUCUAUUGUUAUAUCUAAUCCAGUGUGUUUAAACUGAAAUGUUUGGGAAACUCCAUUUGGGGUAACAAAGUGUAUGUG